GGUGGAUAUAUGGGCAGGUCUUCUAAACUUGUUUAGAGCUAAUAACUCGUCCACUU
rnacentral:tRNA from 1 species